UAUGUUUAGGACAUUUGAGACUGAGAUGGUGAUGCAUGCAGCUAUGAAUAUGAGAUAAAUGAAGAUCUCUUCUCUUAUAUGAAGGUGUGGGAUUUGCUCCACACAACAAGGUUUCGAUGCUGUUUUCGAAGUUUUUGUAGUGACAAACGUUUUGCCCACAGGUAACCUGUUCUAUCAAGUUGUAGUGGUUGUUUGCUGCGGUGUACUGGAUGCCUUUCUUUCCUUUGGAGAGAUAGAAUUUAUUAGAUUUAAUGUGUAUGCUCUUUUGUCUUUUACAUGUGUUAGUUUGUGCUAUGGUAGAUUAGAGAUGUUGGUUUAUGUUAUAUUUGAUUCAAACAUUCAGCUUGAAAAAUAAUAGCUGAGAUGGAACUACUGUGUUGGUACUGGCAAUUGAAAGAUCCAACACUUUGAUUUCAUUCUCAUCUUAUGAGCAGGUAAUUGCUAAUAUGCUCAUACAGCCUAUUUAUGCAUUUUGCCCUUCCCUGUUUUGCAUCUUACAUGCUUGUUUAUGUUGAUAAGCACAAGCUUCUACUAUGUAAGCACAUGCUUAUUAGUUUUAUCUACCCCUGUUUAUCACGGUCAUAAUAUUAUAUCGAUGGCUAUGUGUUGCAUUUAUCUCCACCUCAUACUUUUGACACAAAUAUAUAAGAAAAAGGCAUUGCAAAAUCGUGAGCGAUUCGAAAACAUAAUUUUAUUUUAUUCUCAACCUUUCCCUCUGACUUGUGCACUUUCAGUUUACAUCUUAUCUGAUGGACUUGCGUAAUGGAGCCAUCUCACGCUGAUCAAGAUUCACAUCUUUUUUUCCUCUCUAUUUUAUGCUAUGAAGGUCUCGGUUCAUGUGCCCCUAUUAUUUGCAGGGAAGAAACAGAGAAAGGCCUGUUCGAGGACACUUACACGUACUAGGAAUGUGCCCAUGCUCAUAGGCAUGUUUUGUUCCUUGCUUAGUUCCAGGCCACUCCUUCCUCCUCUCAUCUGUACUUCAUUUCUUGUGUGAGAUUUGGAUGAUUGUUCAAAUUAAUUUGGGGAUUAAUAUAUUUCAGAAGGCAAACUUUUCUUUAACUCACAUAAAUUACCCCAGAUCUUAGUGCUAAAUAACAGAUUAGGUAAUUUCCACAUUUGUUUAGAUUUCUUCUAUUAAAUUGUUCAGUUAUCUUGCUCUUGGUUGAUACCUAUCAUUGCUUAUGGCUCUUCUACAUUCAUUUAUGAUAUAUAUAGGAUUAGGAAUCUUGGAUGAUAAUUAUAAGAGUCGACGACACAGGAGCAUGGUCAAGUGAGAGGUAUGACAUGGGAGUACAAGAGAAUAGUGCUAUGCUGAACCUGUGCCUUGCAAGCUUCUAAUUGAAUUGGAGAAGCUGAAAGUGUGUUUUGUUACUGCAAGGGGUAGAUGUGGAGGUCAGGAUCGUCCACACCUCGCCCUCCGGUGGCGUGGUGGCCGCCGAGUCGAAGGAGGCGCAGGCGCAGGCAAGCUGGGUUGUGCUGGACAGGGACUUGAAGCACGAGGAGAGACUCUGCAUUUCCUAAUAUAUUCUUAUACAAAGGGCCCAGAGAAAAGAUAUCACAUUUCUUUUCUCUCAUACCAAUGCAACAUAUGAUGUUUGACUUGCCACCUACGUGAUAUAUAGGACUUUCCUACAUGUUGUUCAUCUUAUGGAGGUCCGCAUCAUUGCAUUGCAGGUGGUUUUAACUCUAUUUUAUAGCAGCUCUCUAAGGGUUGUCUCAGGCGCCACUGGUGCUUUUUUUGUUACGCUGGUGGGGCAGAGCGCUCCUCCGGAGAUGCUGCAGAUGCUGACUUACCUCGCCAUGAAGCACGACGCCAACAUGCAGCGUGUCGACACAGUCCGGGCUUACAGCUUCGGGGCUCUCUACUUUGUCGAGGUAUUAUGUUGGCUUUCCAAAGGCACUGCAAGAGGAUGGGAAGAACAAGAAAUAUGGGAAAAGAUGCCAGUUAUAUCUUAAUACACAGGUUAUGCACUUAUGAUGCAUACUCAUGCGGUUUAUUAUGUCAGAAGAAAAUACAUGAGAAUGCAUGCGUUCCUGAGCAGGUUCAGUGUCACUAUAUCAUUGAUAUUGACCAUGCUUCUGGUACAAAAAAUGUACAAAUGGCACACCAAUUCCUAAGUAGUGCAUUUCCUUUGCUUAGAAUCCUUUUCUAUGUAGGUUCUUUUGGUAUGCCUUUCUGUUAAGAACUUGAGUAAUUUCAAACUAUGGAUCUUUCAAUGCAUAUUUGAGCAGUGUGUCCCUAUUUGGUAUGUUGCCUUUGCUCAUGUUCCUUCUCUAAGUGAGUAAUUUCAAAUUCGGGAUCUUUCUAUGAAUAUUUGAAGUUUGGUGUCAAAUGUUUGCCUUUGCUCAGCCUUUCUCAUCAUUUUUGUUUUUCCUUAUCAGGGCGUGAAACAUUCAUCAUCAUGGAUUCCAGAUUAUGCAUUCUCUUUCUGAUGGCACCUAAGACCUAACGUAUCAUAAAUAAUAAAAUAAUCCGAAGUCCUUCACACACCUUGGCUGCGUGUAUCUGCCCAUCUUUCUUUUAUUCAGAACAAACAGAGCAACGAUAUAGCUCACAGCUAAAUCCAAAUACACAACACGACAAUACCUAGACCUGGCAAUGAAAAUUAGAAAGAAAGCACACCACAAAGUAAUAGUAAUAGUUCAGCUUUUGGUCUAAAACUACAAACAAAAUUGCUUUGAUACAAUUUUAUGAUGUAUGAUUCUGAUACCUACAACGUUCUCCUUAUUGUUUUGCUUCAAAGAUUACAGUGUUUAUCUUUAAGAUGUAGACUUUAUUUACACAUCAUUGACUAUUUAAUUUGUCUUUCUCUGCUACUCUCUUCCAAUUGCACGGGCCAUCUCCACAACAGAGGUUACGUAUAGUGUUGGAAAUCAUGCAUACUGUCACCCUGCCAUCAUCAGCCAUCUAGCGCUGCAGCCCUCUCGGCCCGUCUGAGCAUUAGCGGCCUCGAUAGUACCAGCACCGGGAUCGUCAUCUAGGUUUUUGCCUACUGUCUCUAGACCGUAUGUUGUGCCACAAUGGACUGUCGAGAGAUCAGCGGCAGCGAGAUGCAGCCUACAGGCCCAUUAGUUCGAGGAGAUUGGUCCCUAACAACUGAAGCAGCCAUUCAGUUGGCCUAAAGGACAUCAACAACAAUGGGAGCAUUUGUGUCGACAUAUUGAAGGACGAAAGGAGCUCUACUCUAACUAUUUCCAAGCCAAUGAAGGCAGAAUAGGGAAGGCUUCCAGUUCAGUUACUUCCAGAGAUGCAUGGUUGAUAACUGAUGAGUUGUGAAGGCCCAGUUCACUUACUUACAGAGCUGACUGAUAAGUGAGGAGUUUUGCAAGUGGUUUUCAUCAUAACAUGAUAUGGAAUAAACCCUGUCGAAGACGUGCCUGAUGCUGAUGGAAAGAAAAACAUCAGUUGAUUCCCCGUUAGGAAAGUUGUCUAAUAGGUGACACGGGUCACCGAUAGUUCUCUUCUAGCUAUCUAGGUGCUGUAGAAUCUUACCGUUCCACUCUUCUCUUUUGCUAUGUAUUGUACAUAUGAAUCAACCGUACGAUGCAAUAGCUGUCUUCUGCAUC